rnacentral:rRNA from 1 species
ACUCCUACGGGAGGCAGCAGUGGGGAAUUUUGCGCAAUGGGGGAAACCCUGACGCAGCAACGCCGCGUGAGUGAUGAAGGCCCUUGGGUCGUAAAGCUCUGACAGAGGGAAAGAAAUGUGGGUGGCUAAUAUCCAUACCACUUGACGGUACCCUCAAAGGAAGCACCGGCUAACUCCGUGCCAGCAGCCGCGGUAAUACGGAGGGUGCGAGCGUUGUUCGGAUUUAUUGGGCGUAAAGCGCGUGUAGGCGGUUUUAUAAGUCUGAUGUGAAAGCCCCGGGCUCAACCUGGGAAGUGCAUUGGAUACUGUAAGACUUGAAUACGGGAGAGGGCAGUGGAAUUCCUAGUGUAGGAGUGAAAUCCGUAGAUAUUAGGAGGAACACCGGUGGCGAAGGCGGCUGCCUGGACCGAUAUUGACGCUGAGACGCGAAAGCGUGGGUAGCAAACAGGAUUAGAUACCCUGGUAGUCCACGCUGUAAACGAUGAGAACUAGGUGUUGCGGGU